UUUGACAUGCAGGUGAUCGCCGUUUGAAAGACGGUUUUCCUCUUCGGAGGCACCUGCACAGGUGCUGCAUGGCUGUCGUCAGCUCGUGUCGUGAGAUGUUGGGUUAAGUCCCGCAACGAGCGCAACCCUUAUCCCUAGUUGCCAUCAGGUAAAGCUGGGAACUCUGGGGAGACUGCCGGUGAUAAACCGGAGGAAGGCGGGGAUGACGUCAAGUCCUCAUGGCCCUUACAUCCCGGGCUACACACGUGCUACAAUGGCAGGUACAAAGGGCGGCGAGUCAGCGAUGACGAGCAAAUCCCGUAAAGCCGGUCUCAGUCCGGAUUGGAGUCUGCAACUCGGCUCCAUGAAGUUGGAAUCGCUAGUAAUCGUGGAUCAGAAUGCCACGGUCGAAUACGUUCCCGGGCCUU
rnacentral:rRNA from 1 species